UGGAGAAAGAGGGCCUGACAAGGAGUCUAGCAUUACUGGAGUCACGUGGCGUCAAACUUGAUUGCAUUGUCACUGAUCGUCAUCCACAAGUACAGAAGUUCCUCAGGGAGAGAAACAUAACCCAUUACUAUGAUGUCUGGCACAUGGCAAAAGGAAUUUCAAAGAAACUGGAAGCAAUCAGUAAGCAGAAAGACUGUGAGAAACUCAAAAAGUGGAUGAAAAGCAUCAACAACCACAUAUACUGGACUGCAGCUGGCUCAACCUCCGGCCCAGAGAGAAUCGCAAAGUGGACCGCGAUCCUGAACCAUGUUCGAGAUGUCCACACACACGAGGAUCCUCUUUACCCCGAGUGCGAGCAUGUGAUCCGCAAGACAACUGA